CCUACGGGAGGCAGCAGUGGGGAAUAUUGCACAAUGGGGGAAACCCUGAUGCAGCGACGCCGCGUGAGCGAAGAAGUAUUUCGGUAUGUAAAGCUCUAUCAGCAGGGAAGAAAAUGACGGUACCUGACUAAGAAGCCCCGGCUAACUACGUGCCAGCAGCCGCGGUAAUACGUAGGGGGCAAGCGUUAUCCGGAUUUACUGGGUGUAAAGGGAGCGUAGACGGCAAGGCAAGUCUGAUGUGAAAACCCAGGGCUUAACCCUGGGACUGCAUUGGAAACUGUCUGGCUCGAGUGCCGGAGAGGUAAGCGGAAUUCCUAGUGUAGCGGUGAAAUGCGUAGAUAUUAGGAGGAACACCAGUGGCGAAGGCGGCUUACUGGACGGUAACUGACGUUGAGGCUCGAAAGCGUGGGGAGCAAACAGGAUUAGAUACCCCUGUAGUC
rnacentral:rRNA from 1 species